rnacentral:rRNA from 1 species
UGCACCUACGGGAGGCAGCAGUCGAGAAUCAUUCACAAUGGGGGAAACCCUGAUGCAGCGACGCCGCGUGGGUGAAGAAGCGCCUCGGCGCGUAAAGCCCUGUCAGCAGGGAAGAAAAUGACGGUACCUGAAGAAGAAGCCCCGGCUAACUACGUGCCAGCAGCCGCGGUAAUACGUAGGGGGCAAGCGUUAUCCGGAUUUACUGGGUGUAAAGGGGGCGCAGACGGCGAUGCAAGCCAGGAGUGAAAGCCCGGGGCCCAACCCCGGGACUGCUCUUGGAACUGCGUGGCUGGAGUGCAGGAGGG